rnacentral:rRNA from 1 species
UGCCAGCANHMGCGGUUACACGGCCACUUAAGGUUUUAUAAUUAGGUUGUACGGUAACUGAUAACUUAAGUAACAAAACAAUUUACUUUAAGGUUCAAUUUAUGAAUGAAUUAUUUUUUCAGUUACAAUCAUUUCGGAAGCCGUGAAACUCUAUUAUGGAACUAGGAUUAGACACCCUACUACCACAGAAUAUAAAAUGAAUCACCAGGGUAUUACGAACUAUUGUUUAAAACCUAAAAAGCUUGGCGGCUUUUUGAUUUGCCAGGGGAGCUUGUCCUAUAAGCGAUAAUCCACGACAAAUUUCACCUUUUUUUGAACUUUCAGCCUGUAUACCCCCGUCCUUUAACAAUCAACCUCCAAGAGGUUAGCAGUUGAUAAAAAGAAUUAAAACCCUUUACGUCAGGUCAAGGUGCAGCUGAUAAAAAGGAAGAGAUGAGCUACCUUAUUUACUUAAUCAAUGGAUUCUUUUUUUAAAAAUUAAGAUUGAAAUAGUACUUGGGAGUAAAAUAAUCUUUAUAAAAAUUAUUUGAAUUAUAAUCAGAAAGUGCACAAAUUGCCCGUCGGUCCCGUCCUAAGCUGGGAUAAGUCGUAACACAGUA